rnacentral:misc_RNA from 1 species
GAAAUGCGAUAAGUAAUGUGAAUUGCAGAAUUCAGUGAAUCAUCGAAUCUUUGAACGCACCUUGCGCUCCUUGGUAUUCCUUGGAGCAUGCCUGUUUGAGUAUCAUGAAAUCUUCAAAGUAAAUCUUUUGUUAACUCAAUUGGUUUCUACUUUGGUAUUGGAGGUCUUUGCAGCUUCACACCUGCUCCUCUUUGUUCAUUAGCUGGAUCUCAGUGUUAUGCUUGGUUCCAAUCGGCGUGAUAAGUUAUCUAUCGCUGAGGACACUGUAAAAGGUGGCCAAGGUAAAUGCAGAUGAACCGCUUCUAAUAGUCCAUUGACUUGGACAAUACUUUUAUGAUCUGAUCUCAAAUCAGGUAGGACUACCCGCUGAACUUAAGC